AUUGAACGCUGGCGGCAGGCCUAACACAUGCAAGUCGAGCGGAUGAAGGUAGCUUGCUCCUGGAUUCAGCGUCGGACGGUUGUGUAAUUCCUAGGAAUCUGCCUUGUCGUGGGGGAUAACGUCCGGAAACGGUCGCUAAUACCGCAUACGUCCUGAGGGAGACAGUGGGGGAUCUUCGUACCUCACGCUAUCUGAUGAUCCUAGGUCGGAUUAGCUAGUUGGUGGGGUAAAGGCCUACCAAGGCGACGAUCCGUAACUGGUCUGAGAGGAUGAUCAGUCACACUGGAACUGAGACACGGUCCAGACUCCUACGGGAGGCAGCAGUGGGGAAUAUUGGACAAUGGGCGAAAGCCUGAUCCAGCCAUGCCGCGUGUGUGAAGAAGGUCUUCGGAUUGUAAAGCACUUUAAGUUGGGAGGAAGGGCAGUAAGUUAAUACCUUGCUGUUUUGACGUUACCAACAGAAUAAGCACCGGCUAACUUCGUG
rnacentral:rRNA from 1 species